rnacentral:rRNA from 1 species
CAGGCCUAACACAUGCAAGUCGAACGCAUCCUUCGGGAUGAGUGGCAGACGGGUGAGUAACACGUGGGAACGUACCCUUUGGUUCGGAACAACUCUGGGAAACUGGAGCUAAUACCGGAUACGCCCUUUUGGGGAAAGGCUUGCUGCCGAAGGAUCGGCCCGCGUCUGAUUAGCUAGUUGGUGGGGUAACGGCCUACCAAGGCGACGAUCAGUAGCUGGUCUGAGAGGAUGAUCAGCCACAUUGGGACUGAGACACGGCCCAAACUCCUACGGGAGGCAGCAGUGGGGAAUACUGGACAAUGGGCGCAAGCCUGAUCCAGCCAUGCCGCGUGAGUGAUGAAGGCCUUAGGGUUGUAAAGUUCUUUUGUCCGGGACGAUAAUGACGGUACCGGAAGAAUAAGCCCCGGCUAACUUCGUGCCAGCAGCCGCGGUAAUAC